rnacentral:rRNA from 1 species
UGGGGAAUAUUGGACAAUGGAGGGAACUCUGAUCCAGCAAUUCUGUGUGUGUGAAGAAGGUUUUAGGACUGUAAAACACUUUUAGUAGGGAAGAAAAAAAUGACGGUACCUACAGAAGAAGCAACGGCUAAAUACGUGCCAGCAGCCGCGGUAAUACGUAUGUUGCGAGCGUUAUCCGGAAUUAUUGGGCUUAAAGGGCAUCUAGGCGGUAAGACAAGUUGAAGGUGAAAACCUGUGGCUCAACCAUAGGCUUGCCUACAAAACUGUUGAACUAGAGUACUGGAAGGGUGGGUGGAACUACACGAGUAGAGGUGAAAUUCGUAGAUAUGUGUAGGAAUGCCGAUGAUGAAGAUAACUCACUGGACAGAAACUGACGCUGAAGUGCGAAAGCUAGGGGAGCAAACAGG